UCGAUUGGUCAAGCUUCUGCUGAGUGCCCGCCUGACGUUCCUUCGCCUCUGCAGAAAUCUCUGCCAGCUUCUGGAUACGCUUCUGAGGGGGCACAGAGAGUGCACAGAGCUCCCUGAGUCCGGAGGGGAAGGAUUUGAUGGAGACAUCCCACUUAGGACUGAGCAUUCCAAUGUCUCUCACUGGCUAUGGAUUUCUGUAUUUGCUUUCGUCUACUACGGAAAGAAGUUUCUCUGCUGAUGGUUGAACAAGACGCUGAUUUGUGAGUAAAGCAGAAUGUGGAUGUCUAGUCACAUCAAAUGCCAACGCACUGGGAAUGGUUCAAGAAUGGUGUGUAUGUCUGAGAGUAUUACCCAUUGUGCGUGUACCUGUGGAAACUGUAAGAAG